rfam:Oryza barthii chromosome 2, whole genome shotgun sequence.
AAAAAGACAAACCCUGGGUUUCUAUGUCCAACGUUUGACUGUCCGUCUUAUAUAAAUUUUUUUUAUAAUUAGUAUUUUCAUUAUUGUUAGAUGAUAAAACAUGAUUAAUAUUUUAUGAGUGACUUAUCUUUUUAAUUUUUUUUAUAUUUUUUUCAGAUAAGACGGACGGUCAAACGUUGAACAUGGAAACCUAAGGUUUGACUUUUU